UGAGGAAUAUUGGUCAAUGGGCGAGAGCCUGAACCAGCCAAGUCGCGUGAAGGAAGACAGUCCUAAGGAUUGUAAACUUCUUUUAUACGGGGAUAACGGGCGAUACGAGUAUUGCAUUGAAUGUACCGUAAGAAUAAGCAUCGGCUAACUCCGUGCCAGCAGCCGCGGUAAUACGGAGGAUGCGAGCGUUAUCCGGAUUUAUUGGGUUUAAAGGGUGCGUAGGUUGUUCGGUAAGUCAGCGGUGAAACCUGAGCGCUCAACGUUCAGCCUGCCGUUGAAACUGCCGGGCUUGAGUUCAGUGGCGGCAGGCGGAAUUCGUGGUGUAGCGGUGAAAUGCAUAGAUAUCACGAGGAACUCCGAUUGCGAAGGCAGCUUGCCAUACUGCGACUGACACUGAAGCACGAAGGCGUGGGUAUCAAACAGGAUUAGAUACCCUGGUAGUCCACGCAGUAAACGAUGAUUACUAGGAGUUUGCGAUAUACCGUCAAGCUUCCACAGCGAAAGCGUUAAGUAAUCCACCUGGGGAGUACGCCGGCAACGGUG
rnacentral:rRNA from 1 species